CUAAUGCUACCAUACGGACACAUAGAAUUUCACCAUGUGAGUUCAAAGAUACUUAGGAUGUUCACGGAACAAGCAUUUUCCAAGUGGGAUACUGCAGAUUUUCUACUUCCUGAUCCAAACAUUCCACUUCCUGUAAAGCUUUGACACCGGAGACUGUCUUUGUAAAUAGAGGUUCUUGUUACCAAGGCUGACGGAACCCACACAGUAGACACAAGGAACAAGUUCCCUUAAGCUGCGCUGUGACCUCCGUUCUUGGACUGUAGCCCAUUAAGAACUUCCACUCUCAGUCGUGAGAGGAGACUCUUCCUCCUGCAGAAGCUUUGAGCUCACACAAGUUUCCUAAUCAAGCAGCUGAGAGGGUGACUCCUUGUCAGAAGAGGAGGAUCCUGUGCAAGCACUGAGUUCUCUGGAACAUUAAAGGCGAGCCAUCGUUGAUUGGCCUCAACUCUUGUGAAGGGUCUCAUUCGCAUGAAAAUAUGCUACAACCUCUGAGCUUGUCUCUGCCGACACUCACAAAAGUAAAAGAUGUCACACAGAACACCCAAGUCCAUCAUCUUCCAUCUCAGGGACCAACGGUAAUGGCUUCAGCGGCAUCACCGUGCCCAUUGAAAGGAUGGAAAUGACAACCGAGAGCCGCAAUGUGGCCAGGCUGCAGGGGCCAGACCGAGGUUGCAUGGGCAGGGUUUCUGUUGCUGGGAUGAAGCGCCAUGACCAAAAAUAAACCAACUCAGGGAGGAAAUUGGUUAUUUGGCUUACACUUCAAAGUCACUGUUGACCAUCAAAGGAGUCAGGAUGGGAACAUAAACAAGUACAACGAAUGGAUACAACUGAGAGGCAUCAUAUGAAGAAAAGCAACUCAAACUCAACAAACAUCGCAUCCUCUCUGGUCUGUGGAUCUUACAUUUAUACAGAGACAUAAGCUCAUCAUGAGUACCUGACCUGACGUAGACAUGAACGUGUCCAGAAAGACAAAGAGGAUUAACGGGAGGCAGGAAAGAAGUCAGGGGUAGAGUGGCGUGGUCAAAGUGUAAGAUAUAUUUCUAUAAACGCAUCCUUAUGAAACUCACUGCCAUGGACAAUGAAUGCAUGCCAAUAAAAACAAAAUAACAACAAUAAAAAUAAAAUCGUUUCCC